CACCUUUGAGUUGAAAAUAUUUCUGAAUUAUAUUAACAGUUGGAUAUUUUUAAACAACCUGAAAUCCUGUUUCUAAAGAUACAAUGAAUGUUAGAAAAUUUUGUAUUAACUCCAGAUGAAAGUGAAUUCUUUGGUGUGGUGGUUCCAGAACCAACUCCAAAGAUCCAUUUAAAUCCAAUCCCUCCAUUAAAUGAACUCAGUGUCAUUAGUACAGAAUGUUCAUCUUGGUGGGAAGGCUCUUAACUUUUAAUAACUAUUUAUUGUUUCUUAUUAGAACCUAGUAGACAAAAGAAGCAAAAUACAAAAUGAAAAGUAGUUAAUGUGUCCUCCAAUCCUUUCACACAGAUAAAUCUGUGUGUGUGUGUGUGUGUGUGUGUGUGUGUGUGUGUGUGUGUGUAUAAAAACAGCAUAUGCUACAUUUGGUUCCAGCCAUCCACUAGGAGUUUUGGGACAUGCCACCUGCUAACUGUGUCUACUGCAGAAUUAAAGGCAAAUGACAGACAAGGCUUUGGUGCAGUUUGCACAGAAACCACCAGAGAUCACCGCUGCUCUAGAUGUGGUUUCAUUUCAUUUGCAUGGCGACGUCCCAGUUGAACCAGCCUACUUCCUCUUCAGGCACACACACACACACACACACACACACACACACACACACACACACACAAUUCUGUUUUACAGAGUUUCUUGCCUAUUAGAGAAUAGUUUCUAGAAAAUCUUUCAGGUGCCCAGCCCUGUAAGAUAGGGUGUACUGCAAGAAGCAAGAAUCAUUUCCUUCUACAAGCAUGUUUUCUGUCAUCUAUUUCAAUAUUGUGAUCCUCUUAACUUUCGAGAAGAGCAAUGGAGAGCCCAUAACUCAGACCGAAGGCCCAGUUACUCUCACAGUGGGGGCACCUCUGAUCCUGAACUGCAACUAUCAAACUUCUUAUUCAGAACCUCUGCUUUUAUGAAUUCAACCUAACUCCCACCGACCUUCAUUUCAUGAGGCUGCUUAAGAGGCUGAGAUGUGACACGACUCCUGGUGAGGUCCUGAGAGUCACUCCUCACUACAUACACUGAAUGAGGAUACAAUCCAGUUAGGGAAAGACAUGUCCAUGAUGUCUUUCCUCUUCAUGGCGAUUCUCCCCUGCUGUCAUCCGACCUUGGACCUAAGGAUGUGUCUGUUGUGGUCUCUCACCUUGAGUUACACUUGGAUUCUCUGAUAAUUCUGAACAAGGAAGAAAGACUGGGAUUUUGACUGACCCCAGGAUUAAACAAAACAUUAAGCUAAAAUAUAACAACGUUCAGUAUUUUCUCUACUGCACAAGAAAGAUAGUGUUAAAUAAGGAUGCCUCUAAUAGAAAAAGUUUGUCUGCAUGUACACAGAGCAGUAACAUAAACACUGUGCUUUAUGAUGAGGGGGGAAAUGGAGCAACAAACCCUGUUUCUGAGUCAACAAUAAAUAUUACCUUGUGUUUUUAUCAUUGA